CCAGACUCCUACGGGAGGCAGCAGUGGGGAAUAUUGCACAAUGGGGGAAACCCUGAUGCGGCGACGCCGCGUGAGUGAAGAAGUAUUUCGGUAUGUAAAGCUCUAUCAGCAGGGAAGAUAAUGACGGUACCUGAGUAAGAAGCCCCGGCUAACUACGUGCCAGCAGCCGCGGUAAUACGUAGGGGGCAAGCGUUAUCCGGAUUUACUGGGUGUAAAGGGAGUGUAGACGGCAUGGCAAGUCUGAAGUGAAAGCCCGGGGCUCAACCCCGGGACUGCAUUUGGAACUGUGUGGCUGGAGUGUCGGAGAGGCAGGCGGAAUUCCUAGUGUAGUGGUGAAAUGCGUAGAUAUUAGGAGGAACACCAGUGGCGAAGGCGGCCUGCUGGACGAUGACUGACGUUGAGGCUCGAAAGCGUGGGGAGCAAACAGGAUUAGAUACCCUCGUACG
rnacentral:rRNA from 1 species